rnacentral:rRNA from 1 species
AUUGAACGCUGGCGGCAUGCUUUACACAUGCAAGUCGAACGGCAGCACGGGCUUCGGCCUGGUGGCGGAGUGGCGAACGGGUGAGUAAUGCAUCGGAACGUGCCCAUUUUGGGGGAUAACUACGCGAAAGCGUGGCUAAUACCGCAUACGCCCUGAGGGGGAAAGCGGGGGGAUUCUUCGGAACCUCGCGCAAUUGGAGCGGCCGAUGUCAGAUUAGCUUGUUGGUGAGGUAAAGGCUCACCAAGGCGACGAUCUGUAGCGGGUCUGAGAGGAUGAUCCGCCACACUGGGACUGAGACACGGCCCAGACUCCUACGGGAGGCAGCAGUGGGGAAUUUUGGACAAUGGGGGCAACCCUGAUCCAGCCAUGCCGCGUGAGUGAAGAAGGCCUUCGGGUUGUAAAGCUCUUUCAGCCGGGAAGAAAGCGCACUCUCUAACAUAGGGUGUGGAUGACGGUACCGGAAGAAGAAGCACCGGCUAACUACGUG